AAGCACUGAUACUACCCACCGCGGAUGCACUGCUAGUCUUCUUUGAAGAUUGGUGGUGUUGAUGUCGUGGGGCCUGAUGUGUGGUUCAAGUGAUGGGGUGACGCAGUGAGGUAGCCACGCCACUUAUUGGAUUGGUGGUGUAAGCGUGCAGAUCGUGUGGUAGGUAAAUCCGCCACACAUUUGGUUGAGACGUGAUGCGUAGACCCACAAGGGUUGAUGGUGGUGAUCCUGUACUGUCGAGAAAAGCCUCUAGCGAUGUGUGUGUAUGGCCCGUACCCUAAACCGACACAGGUAGUCAGGUUGAAAAUACUAAGGCGUUCGGGUGAACUGUGGUUAAGGAAUUCGGCAAAAUGCCCCCGUAACUUCGGGAGAAGGGGGGCCUCACGACGUGAAGGUCUUUACGGCUGGAAGCGUUGUGGGGUCGCAGAGAAUAGAGGGAAGCGACUGUUUAUCAAAAACACAGGUCCAUGCGAAGACGUUAAGUUGAUGUAUAUGGACUGACGCCUGCCCGGUGCUGGAAGGUUAAGAGGACCGGUUAGUCAUCUUUGUUGGCGAAGCUGAGAAUUUAAGCCCCAGUAAACGGCGGUGGUAACUAUAACCAUCCUAAGGUAGCGAAAUUCCUUGUCGGGUAAGUUCCGACCUGCACGAAUGGCGU
rnacentral:rRNA from 1 species